AACGACUCUCGGCAACGGAUAUCUCGGCUCACGCAUCGAUGAAGAACGUAGCAAAAUGCGAUACUUGGUGUGAAUUGCAGAAUCCCGUGAACCAUCGAGUUUUUGAACGCAAGUUGCGCCCGAAGCCAUUCGGUUGAGGGCACGUCUGCCUGGGCGUCACGCA
rnacentral:rRNA from 2 species